AUGACGUCCUCUGCCAUCACUUUGCUGCUGGAUCAUCAAAGUAAAAGGUUGGCCUGGGAUUUCUCUGUGGGACAACUUAGCAGUAAAGUUCUGAAGAGCAGCAGACUGCAGGACACAUGUCUGGCUGAGGUUUCGCUGAGUCUGGCCCUAAAUGGUGACGUGAGUCUGCCUGGUCUCAGGCCGGGGCGUCUGGGACUGUGUGUCAGGACUCUGCUGGCUGAGCUUCACGAAGGCCUGUUCCUCAGCCAGUUCCCCAAACCUCCAGGAGCUGCCCCCACUGACUGCACCAGUCAUACUGCAGGUUUGACGUUUAAGCUACACUCCUUACAAUUGCAAAGGCUGCAAUUUAAUGUAAAAAAUAAAAAAAGAAGCUUUAAAGAUUUCGUGCCGUUUUCCACCAAAAUAAAAGCAUGAUAAUAUUUAAUAUUUGAAAAUGAAAAAAUUAAGACACAAAUAAAUGUAAGUAUUGUAAUUUUACAGUUCUUCAAAAUUACAUUUCUUUUUUUUCCUCACAGUGAAAUAUUACCAAAGUGUAUUCUUAUUUUGUUAAAUACAUCUAUUUAGUAAUGAUAAUAAUAGUAGUUAUGCAAACUAGUGUUAAUUUCGUUAACGAAAACUAUGAUGAAAAAUGUUCGUCAACGAGGUUUUUUCCCCUGAUGAAAACGAGACAGUGACGAGACGACAAUAAGGUCAUUAAAUGAUAACUGAGACUAAAUGAACAUGCAAUAUCGUUGACGAAAAAAGAUGAGACUAAAAUGUAGUUAAAAGAACAAAAACUUUACCAAAACCUUUUUAUUUUUGUUGAAAAAAGUGGAGCCAAAACUUUUCAGACUUCAGACUCUAUUAUGCGUGAAAACGAGGACAGUGACGAGACGACAAUAAGGUCAUUAAAUGAUAACUGAGACUAAAUGAACAUGCAAUAUCGUUGACGAAAAAGAUGAGACUAAAAUGUAGUUAAAAGAACAAAAAACUUUACCAAAACCUUUUUAUUUUUGUUGAAAAAAAGUGGAGCCAAAACUUUUCAGACUUCAGACUCUAUUAUGCGAGCGUUCAUGUUUGCGGUUGCCCGGUUUAUUUAGCCUCUAAUUGAUAUCCUGAUAUCCUGUAAAUCUGUACACUAGAUGAGGUAAAAUAAACCAUGCAUACGAUUCGAUGUUCUAUUGAUUUGUGCUCAUUGGUGAAAGAGCAACUUCUGAUGAAAUGUAAAAAUAAAUUUUCCAAAUGACAACAAUCAUUUCAGUUAAAAUUUAGCAAAAUAUUUUUUUUUUCCAUUAUUUUAACCAUUAUACAGUAAGAUGAAAAUGUGUAAGUUGCCACUGACUAAAACUAGACUAAAAUUAUCAGACAUUUAGUCGACUAAAACUAAAACAGAACAAUUUGAGUAAAUAUGAUAAAAACUAAGUUACAUUUGACACAGGUAUUAAAAAUAGCUGACAAAAUUAACACUAAUGCAAACACACACAUUCCAUACAUGUGUGUAUAUAUAUAUAUAUUAGGGCUGUGCAAAAAAUCGAAUACGAUUUUAAUGCGCAUCUCUUCAGUAAAGGCGCUCCUGUGAUUAGUAGUAUAUCUCCAGCACGUACGUUAAGAUCAGGGUUGCCAGGUUUUCACAAAAAUCCUGCCCAGUUGCUUCUCAAAACUAGUCCAAAACUAGCCCAAUCGCGUUUCCAGGAGGUUCCCCGAUAAAAAUUGCAUCCCGGGGUUAAAAUAUAAGUUUUUGUCAGGGUUGCCCUGGUAAUAUUCACAUUUUAGGGGCUAAAUAUCACGUUAUUGGUAUUGGGGUUGCUUCAACCCGCGGACAUGAAAAACAACCGCAGACUUGGCAACACUGGUUCAGGUGGAGCGGCUAUUUACUACACAGAGCCGUAGUCCACCGACAAGUCUACAACAAAAUCGUCUUUACAAAAUCGAACAAAGAAUCCGCCUGCGUAAUUUUAAAUCGAUUUUGUGUAGAUUGUCAGUGAAUUACGGCUCUUUGUAGUAAAUGCCAACCAGUGUUGCCAAGUCUGCGGUUGUUUUUCAUGUCCGCGGGUUGAAGCGACCCCAAUACCAAUAACGUGAUAUUUAGCCCCUAAAAUGUGAAUAUUACCAUGGCAACCCUGACAAAAAACUUAUAUUUUAACCCCGGGAUGCAAUUUUUAUCGGGGAACCUCCUGGAAACGCGAUUGGGCUAGUUUUGGACUAGUUUUGAGAAGCAACUGGGCAGGAUUUGUUGUGAAAACCUGGCAACCCUGAUCUGAACGCACGUGCUGGAGAUAUACUACUAAUCACAGGAGCGUCUUUACUGAAGUGACGCGCAUGAAAAUCGUAUUUGAUUUUUUGCACAGCCCUACUCUGGAUCCCUCUCAUCCAAGUUACCCCCUUUUUUAACUUUUGCCAUCUGGCCGGCGCUUCAGAGCCACAAAUACCAGGACAGUCAGGCACAAGAACAGUUUCUUACCCCAGGCAAUCUAACUCAUGAACAGUUAAAUGUUCACCACUUAUGCAAAAAAUGUGCAAAAUCCUUAUAUUUAUUUGUUACCCCUCCAUCCAAGUACAUCUCUGCAUCUUACUCUAUUCUAAUCCAUUGUCAUCUAUAGCACAAUUGUUCAUACAAUUUAUUUAUUUGCAAUUUUUUUUUUUUUUUGCUCUGUGUACUGGAAGCUUAUGUAACUAAAACAAAUUCCUUGUAUGCGUAAGCAUACUUGGCAAUAAAGCUCUUUCUGAUUCUGUU
rnacentral:lncRNA from 1 species